GGGUUCCUGGGAGUGGAGUCUGAGAACUACUGCCCUCUCACCUCAUGGUGUGGUCCCAGGAACUCGAAUUUAAUUCCUCUCUGUUCAGACUCCUCAGGUGGCCAGGAAGGCGUAGAUCUGGUGGGGAGACCGGCCGUGGCAGGUGUCACUGUCAGCGCCUCUUCCUGAGCCUGGUGGGGUCCAGGAGUGGGGCAAGGGGCAGGUGUGGCUGCACCCCUGCCGUCAGGGUGGGUGAGCCCCAGAGGGUGCCCAUGUAGCGGUGGGGCCUGGGGCAUAGCACCCACCAAUCCCACCAGGCCACGAGCACAGUGGGGCUGGGCCGUCAUCGACCCUUUCACACUCAGGUUUGAACGGUGUCCCCGGGAGCAUCUGGGACUUUGUUUCCGGCAGCUUCUCCCCUAGCCCCUCCCCCAUCUUGAGUGCCGGCCCUCCAUCCUCUUCGAGUGCAAGUCCAAACGGAGCUGAGCUGGCCCGGGUCAGGCAGCAGCUGGACGAGGCCAAGAGGAAGAUCCGGCAGUGGGAGGAGUCCUGGCAGCAGGUGAAGCAGGUCUGCGAUGCCUGGCAGCGAGAGGCGCAGGAGGCCAAGGAACGUGCCCGUGUGGCCGAUAGCGACCGGCAGCUGGCGCUGCAGAAGAAGGAGGAGGUGGAGGCGCAGGUGAAGCAGCUGCAGGAGGAGCUGGAGGGCCUGGGCGUAGCCGCCACACUGCCGGGGCUGCGGGGCUGUGGGGACAUCGACACCAUUCCCCUGCCGAAGCUGCACUCGCUGCAGAGUCAGCUGCGCCUGGACCUGGAGGCGGUGGACGGCGUGAUCUUCCAGCUCCGCGCCAAGCAGUGUGUGGCCUGCCGGGAGCGGGCCCACGGUGCUGUCCUGCAGCCCUGUCAGCACCACAUCCUCUGUGAGCCGUGUGCGGCCACCACACCUG
rnacentral:sRNA from 1 species